rnacentral:rRNA from 1 species
UACGUAGGGUGCAAGCGUUGUCCGGAAUUAUUGGGCGUAAAGAGCUCGUAGGCGGUUUGUUGCGUCGGCUGUGAAAUCCCGAGGCUCAACCCUCGGGUCUGCAGUCGAUACGAGCAAACUAGAGUGUUGCAGGGGAGACUGGAAUUCUCGGUGUAGCGGUGAAAUGCGUAGAUAUCGAGAGGAACACCUGCGGCGAAGGCGGGUUGCUGGGCUGAUACUGACGCUGAUGCGCGAAAGCCAGGGGAGCGAACGGGG